UACGGGGGGGGGCAAGCGUUUGUUCGGAAUUACUGGGCGUAAAGGGCUCGUAGGUGGCCAACUAAGUCAUACGUGAAAUCCCUCGGCUUAACCGGGGAACUGCGUCUGAUACUGGAUGGCUUGAGAUUGGGAGAGGGAUGCGGAAUUCCAGGUGUAGCGGUGAAAUGCGUAGAUAUCUGGAGGAACACCGGUGGCGAAGGCGGCAUCCUGGACCAACACUGACACUGAGGAGCGAAAGCCAGGGGAGCAAACGGG
rnacentral:rRNA from 1 species